GUGCCAGCCGCCGCGGUAAUACGUAGGGUGCGAGCGUUAAUCGGAAUUACUGGGCGUAAAGCGUGCGCAGGCGGCUUUGUAAGACAGAUGUGAAAUCCCCGGGCUCAACCUGGGAACUGCAUUUGUGACUGCAAGGCUAGAGUGCGUCAGAGGGAGGUGGAAUUCCGCGUGUAGCAGUGAAAUGCGUAGGGAUGCGGAGGAACACCGAUGGCGAAGGCAGCCUCCUGGGAUGACACUGACGCUCAUGCACGAAAGCGUGGGGAGCAAACAGGAUUAGAUACCCUGGUAGUCCACGCCCUAAACGAUGUCAACUAGUUGUCGGGGAUUCAUUUCCUUGGUAACGCAGCUAACGCGUGAAGUUGACCGCCUGGGGAGUACGGCCGCAAGGUUAAAACUCAAAGGAAUUGGCGG
rnacentral:rRNA from 1 species